GCCAGUUUGGCUCAGUGGAUAGAGUGUUGGCCUGCCAGCUAAAGGGUACCGGGUUCGAAUCCGGUCAAGGGCA
rnacentral:tRNA from 1 species